UGAACUAUAUGGAGUGAUGGGAACCCC
rnacentral:piRNA from 1 species